rnacentral:lncRNA from 1 species
UGUCAGUAAAACCACGACAUCAAGAACAACGACUCAAUAAUGGCUCUUCAGCUUCGAGUGAGCAGGUGUGUCCUCUUCAGGACUGGACAGAAGUGUGGACUAGGCUGAACAGGAGGUUGGGAAACAGCGGAGAUGAGGGCGGGCUGUUCUUUCUUAUUGCGAUUGUUCAUGUGUGCUGAAGAGAGCGUGAGACAGCAGGGAAGAAAACCAGGACUUGAAUGCGAAAAGUGAGAAGACAAUGGGGAGACGGGCCUUUUGAAGUGUGCUGUCCCGGACGGCCGUCUAUUGAUGGGAGCAGCAGGCAACAGGUAAAGUCUCAUCGCCGAAGCCCCACGGGCUGUGGAAUUAUCUCCCGGCCCGGAGUACAGCUUGCAGAGGAGUCCGCGCCUCCAGAUCCCGUCCUAAAGCUCACCUUUCCAUUCUCAGCUCUCAAUUCUGUUCAGUGUCCUUGGGUGUCUUUACCCAUGUUUUCCUAAACAUGGCUGCUAUGGUGUCUUCCAUCCAGCUGACACUUCAGAGCACAGCUCCGUCUUCUAGAGCUG